AUUGAACGCUGGCGGAAUGCUUUACACAUGCAAGUCGAACGGCAGCACGGGGGCAACCCUGGUGGCGAGUGGCGAACGGGUGAGUAAUACAUCGGAACGUGCCCGGUCGUGGGGGAUAACGUAGCGAAAGUUACGCUAAUACCGCAUACGAUCUGAGGAUGAAAGCGGGGGACCUUCGGGCCUCGCGCGAUCGGAGCGGCCGAUGUCAGAUUAGGUAGUUGGUGGGGUAAAGGCCUACCAAGCCGACGAUCUGUAGCUGGUCUGAGAGGACGACCAGCCAAACUGGGACUGAGACACGGGCCAGACUCCUACGGGAGGGAGCCGUGGGGAAUUUUGGACAAUGGGCGCAAGCCUGAUCCAGCCAUUCCGCGUGCAGGACGAAGGCCUUCGGGUUGUAAACUGCUUUUGUAUGGAACGAAAAGGCUCUGGCUAAUACCUGGGGCUCAUGACGGUACCGUAAGAAUAAGCACCGGCUAACUACGUG
rnacentral:rRNA from 1 species